rnacentral:rRNA from 1 species
AUUGAAUUUAAUUCAGGAUUAAAUAUUAUAUUGUAUAAUUUAAUUUAUAUUUUAUAUUUUAAUCUAAAAUUAAUAGGGAUAAGCUUAUUAAUUAAAUUUAUAGCUUUAAAUAUUUUGUUUAAGAUUUGUAGGAUUAAAAAUUUCCAUCAUUUAUUUUUUUAUAAUUAAUUUUAAUUUAUAUUUUAUUUUUAUUUAGGUUUAAAUUUUUAUUAAAAAUAGUUAUUUAAUAAAAUAAAUAACUGUUAUAAUGAUAAAAUUAGUAAAUUUUAUGUAACUAAUAUAUAGUAAUUCGGCAAAAUUAUCCUUCACCUGUUUAACAAAAACAUGUUCUAAUGUUUAAUUUUAUUAGAUUUAACCUGCUCAAUGAUGAUUUAUUAAAUAGCCGCAGUAUUUUGACUGUGCGAAGGUAGCAUAAUCAUUUGUCUUUUAAUUGGGGGCUUGUAUGAAAGGUUGAAUGAGGGGAUAACUUUCUUUAUAUUAAAUAUUGAAUUUAAUAUUUAAGUUAAAAAGCUUAAAUUUUUAAAAGGGACGAGAAGACCCUAUAGAAUUUUAUAUUUUUUAUAAAUUAAUUAUUUUGGUUAAUUUUUAAUUUAAUUUAUAAAUAAUAUUUUGUUGGGGUGAUAGUAAGAUUUAUUUAACUCUUAUAAUUUAUUUUAUUGUUGAUUGGCAUAUUUAUGAUCCUAUUUUAUGGAUAAUUAGAC